UAGGUUAACGAGGCGAACCGGGGGAACUGAAACAUCUAAGUACCCCGAGGAAAAGAAAUCAACCGAGAUUCCCCCAGUAGCGGCGAGCGAACGGGGAGCAGCCCAGAGUCUGAAUCAGCUUGUGUGUUAGUGGAACGGUCUGGAAAGUCCGACGGUACAGGGUGAUAGUCCCGUACACCAAAAUGCACAGGCUGUGAACUCGAAGAGUAGGGCGGGACACGUGGUAUCCUGUCUGAAUAUGGGGGGACCAUCCUCCAAGGCUAAAUACUCCUGACUGACCGAUAGUGAACCAGUACCGUGAGGGAAAGGCGAAAAGAACCCCGGCGAGGGGAGUGAAAAAGAACCUGAAACCGUGUACGUACAAGCAGUGGGAGCACCUUCGGGUGUGACUGCGUACCUUUUGUAUAAUGGGUCAGCGACUUAUAUUCUGUAGCAAGGUUAACCGUAUAGGGGAGCCGCAGGGAAACCGAGUCUUAACUGGGCGUUAAGUUGCAGGGUAUAGACCCGAAACCCGGUGAUCUAGCCAUGGGCAGGUUGAAGGUUGGGUAACACUAACUGGAGGACCGAACCGACUAAUGUUGAAAAAUUAGCGGAUGACUUGUGGCUGGGGGUGAAAGGCCAAUCAAACCGGGAGAUAGCUGGUUCUCCCCGAAAGCU
rnacentral:rRNA from 4 species